ACUGCAGCAAGCCUCAUUUUUAUUUUUAUUUUUAUUUUUUUAGAGAGAGGGUCCCGCCCAGGCUGGAGUGUAGUGGCUAUUCACAGGCAUGAUCAUGGCUCACUGUAACCUCAAAUUCCACACUAACAGGAGUGAGGCAAUAUCUCAUUGUGGUUUUGUUUUGCAUUUCUUGAACACCUAUUUUUAGUUUCUUUGGGUAUAUACCUAGGAGUAGGAUUCCUGAGUCACAUGGUAAUUCUACGUUCAGCUUUUUGAGGAACUGCCAAAGUGCUUUCCACAGCAGCUGCACCAUUUUCCCAUUCCCACUGGCAUCGUAUGUAGGCUCCUCUCUGCAGUUUCUAGCCUGUUAACAUGAGCUGGAAAGCAUUUCUUUUCUUUUUUUCCUCUGAAUUUUUCUUCUAUUUUCUAAUUAGCAUAGAGUUGAUAUUUGCCCACCUUGGCCUGCCAAAGUGCUGGGAUUACAGGUGUGAGCUACCAUGUCUGGCCGAUAACUAAUUUCUUUUUGGUGUUGAAUAAUAUUCCAUUGUUUAGGUAUACCACAGUUUAUCCAUUUACUUACUGAAAAGCAUCUUGGUUGCUUCCAAGUUUUGUCAACCAUGAGUAAAGCUGUUAUAAAUAUCCACGUGCAGCUUUUUGUGUGGACAUAAGUUUUAAUUCAUUUGGGCGAAUACCAAGGAGUAAUCACCAGUUUAGGACAAUACCAUCAGGAAGUACUGACUGCUAUAUAGGAGUCAAU
rnacentral:lncRNA from 10 species